rnacentral:rRNA from 1 species
UACGGAGGGGGCUAGCGUUGUUCGGAAUUACUGGGCGUAAAGCGCACGUAGGCGGCUUUGUAAGUUAGAGGUGAAAGCCCGGGGCUCAACUCCGGAAUUGCCUUUAAGACUGCAUCGCUAGAAUUGUGGAGAGGUAAGUGGAAUUCCGAGUGUAGAGGUGAAAUUCGUAGAUAUUCGGAAGAACACCCGUGGCGAAGGCGGCCAACUGGGCCGGACCUGGACGCUGAGGCGCGAAGGCGUGGG